UUUUACGGAGAGUUUGAUCCUGGCUCAGGACGAACGCUGGCGGCGUGCUUAACACAUGCAAGUCGAACGAUGAAGCCCAGCUUGCUGGGUGGAUUAGUGGCGAACGGGUGAGUAACACGUGAGUAACCUGCCCUUGACUCUGGGAUAAGCGCUGGAAACGGCGUCUAAUACCGGAUACGACCUGCCCCGGCAUCGGGUGCGGGUGGAAAGUUUUUCGGUC
rnacentral:rRNA from 1 species